rnacentral:piRNA from 1 species
GUGCACUGCAAAGGAUGUGAAGGAAAGUC